rnacentral:rRNA from 1 species
CAGCAGCCGCGGGAAUACGUAGGUGGCAAGCGUUGUCCGGAUUUAUUGAGCGUAAAGCGAGCGCAGGCGGUCAAUUAAGUCUGAUGUGAAAGCCCCCGGCUCAACCGGGGAGGGUCAUUGGAAACUGGUUGACUUGAGUGCAAGAGGGGAGAGUGGAAUUCCAUGUGUAGCGGUGAAAUGCGUAGAGAUGUGGAGGAACACCAGUGGCGAAGGCGACUCUCUGGUCUGUAACUGACGCUGAGGAGCGAAAGCGUGGGGAGCGAACAGGAUUAGAGACCCGAGUAGUCCCUGUCUCUUAUAC